rnacentral:rRNA from 2 species
AUGCAGUCGAGCGCAGGAAGCUCACGGAACUCUUCGGAGGGAAGUGAAGGGAAUGAGCGGCGGACGGGUGAGUAACACGUAAGGAACCUGCCCCAAGGAUUGGGAUAACUCCGAGAAAUCGGAGCUAAUACCGAAUAGUUCUUCAGACCGCAUGGUCUGAUGAUGAAAGGCGCUCCGGCGUCACCUUGGGAUGGCCUUGCGGUGCAUUAGCUAGUUGGUGGGGUAAUGGCCCACCAAGGCGACGAUGCAUAGCCGACCUGAGAGGGUGAUCGGCCACACUGGGACUGAGACACGGCCCAGACUCCUACGGGAGGCAGCAGUAGGGAAUCUUCCACAAUGGACGAAAGUCUGAUGGAGCAAC